CAUAUAUUCCCGUUAAUUCCCACGGAAGGUUUCCACCUCUGAAUAUUCCCCAAAAUGUGCAACCCUAAUUACUGCACCAAACACCUUAGUUAGAUGUAAAAUUGUGCAACUGAAACAUCCUCUGCAAAAACAUCAAAAUUAAUUAUAGAUUUCUUACAGUUAUCUUAGAUUCAUUCUGGGGAUUUUGAGGAAGUGAAAUAGGUUUCUGCAUCUGUAGUGUCUCAUUGGGGACAAACAUCAUUAACCAAACACGGAUCGGUCAGGAAACACACCUCCAAGACUGAAGUCUCGUUUUUCUAACGAGCAACAGACAAACACAUGUGCCAAUCGGCAUGUUCAGUUGCUCUUUAAGUGGAGAGGAUGGAGGAGAUUGGAAAGAAUAUUGCAGAAGGAAGAAAAAGGAUGGGGUUCCACAUGCCCCCCUUCUCCUCAGUCCCUCACCUCCAUCUCCACGUCAUCGCUCCUGCCAGUCAGAUGAGCAUCAGGUCACUCAGUCACUAUGGGCCGCAAUCCUAUUGGUUCAUUACCGUGAGUGGAGCAGUAACCCCUCCCACUUCACCAUUGGGGGUUCUUCAUUUUUAUGUCUAUGUUUACCACAUUCAAAUGUGUCUUUGCUCUAUUGUAGAUGGACAGAAUGGUUCAGCAGCUGA
rnacentral:lncRNA from 1 species